GGCAGAUCAAGAGCAUCUCAUCCUCCGGCUGCUGAGUCAUCCUGCUCUGGCAGUUAUUUAAACAGAAGGCUCCAGGAGACAUACAAUCAACACUCCACUCAGACAAUGCCCAGACCUCCAGAAACCAUGUGUCAAGCUCGGAUUGCCUUAGACAGGUGCAAUUUAAGAACAGCUUUCAUCCUCUUUUCUCUCAUAUUGUCACACUAUGUGUUCUGACUUCUGGCUCCUUUCCUCACAAGAAGCUCACCCAGCUGGAACUCUUAUGGGACCUUGGCACCAGAGACCACAAAUUCCUCUUUGAAGUUUUCUAACAGCAACAAUGGUAUUUCUGACUUGGCUUUCUUGUAUUUCUCUCACGUUAACAAAAUUGGUUCAGCAUCUACCAUGGGCUACAUGCUGAGCUACAGAGUUUCGCUCUGUCGCCCAGGCUGGAGUGCAGUGGCGCGCGAUCUCGGUUCACUGCAAGCUCCACCUCCCGGGUUCACGCCAUUCUCCUGCCUCAGCCUCCUGAGUAGCUGGGACUACAGGCGCCCGCCACCACACCCAGGAAUCCAACUUGCUGUUUGCUAUCACAUGUGCUAUACAUGCUGUUGAUGAAACUGCUAAAGGGGCUGAAUGUGACUGACGUCUUUGGAAGGAUGAGACUUAGCGUGCCUGUACAGUUGUGUCCAAAUGCUGUCCUCAUCUCCCAAUGAAAAGGGUUUUUCCUUAAGCCUCACAACAAUUUACAGCAUUGCCAGCAGCAUUCAGUACAUUCAGAACAGGAUAAUUUCACCCGCAGCUGAACUAGGGCCAUGCCUGGGACAGACAGAGAAUGGCCUUCCAGCAGACAUGCCAAGAAGCAAGCCAGGGUCAGUGAGUGAAGAGGAGGGCAGGCCCAUUUGAAGCAACACAGUUUAUAUACAUGAAAAGAAAGAAGGAGAGAAGGAAGAAAGGAGGGCGGAAGGAAAGGAAGAAGGGAGAGAAGAAGAGAAGAAAGAAGCAGAGAAAGGAAGAGAAAAGAAAUUACGGCCAGUGCGGUGGCUCACGCCUGUAAUCCUAGCACUUUGGGAGGCCUAAGCGGGCUGAUCACCUGAGGUCAGGAGUUCGUAAGCCAGCCUGGCCAACAUGGUGAAACCCUAUCUCUACUAAAAAUACAAAAAUCAGCAGGGCAUGGUGGUGCGUGCCUGUAAUCCCAGCUACCUGGGAGGCUGAGGUAGGAGAAUCGCUGGAACCCGAGAGGCGGAGGCUGCAGUGAGUUGAGAUCAUGUCACUGCACUCCAGGCUGGGCAACAGAGUGAGACUCUGUCUCAGAAAAAAAAAAAAAGAAAGAAAGAAAGAAAGAAAGUUACCAUUAGUUUUUUGUUGUAUUUGCAAGCAAAGACAAAAGCACCAAGGUACUUGUUUCCUUCUGUAAUUAGAGUUUCAAAUAGACUAAAAGUUUCUGCUCUUAGGUGGGUCUAGAGACUCUCCAGUACCUCAGGACCUCAGGACACAUGGGGUCUCUUGGUUGUUUUCUUUUCAUUGUUGUUGUUUAUUUUAUUUUUGUUUUUAUUUUUUAACUUUAAAACAAUUUUUUGUAGAUGAAUAUGCUUACAUAUGUUUGGGGGUUUUUUUGAGACAGGGUCUUGCUCUGUUGCCCAGGCUGGAGAGCGGUGGUUUAACCACAGCUCACUGCAGCCUCGACCUCCCAAGGUAGGGACUGCAGGUGUGUACACUGGGGUGCACCACCACACCCAGCUAAUUUUUAAAUUUUUUUUUGUAGAUAUUGUCUCACUCUGUUGGCCAGACUGGUCUUGAAAUCCUGGGCUCGAGCAAUUCUCCUGCCUCGGCCUCGUAACGCGUUAGGAUUACAAGCGUGAACACCGCACCUGGCCAGCAUGUGGUCUCUUAACCAGAGGAGGCCUCUUCUGAACUAGGUAGAGGUCCUGAGAAUUGAUUCUGAGAGUAAAAGGCUCUUUGUUCUCCUCAGAGUAGAUUAGAAUCCCUAAUGAUAGAGCAUCUAUUAUUCCUCUAGUGGUCCAUGCCCAACAGAUUCAUCCAAGAAUAGAUGAAGAUCUUUGUAAUGUUGUGCAAGUAAUCUAAUCACCCCACAGAAGAGCUGUGACUUAAAUUAUCCCAGAGUCGGCCCACCUGUUUUCAUAAAGAUCAAUGUAACUUGUAAAUUUCUUCAGUUCUCCUCACCUAUCAUCAUUUGACUAACAAAACCCAGAAAACUAGGCUAGUUAUGGUGGCCUAUGCAUAUAAUCCCAACUCUUUGAGAGGCCAGGGUGGGUGGAUUGCUUGAGUCCAGGAAUUCGAGACCAGCCUGGGCAACAAAGGGAGACCCUGCCUAUAUCCCAGCUAUGCAGGAGGCGAGGCCAGAGGAUUGCCUGAGCCUCAGAGGUUGAGGCUGUAGUGAGCCAUGAUUGCCCCACUACACUCCAGCCUGGAUGACAGAGUGAGACCCUGCCUUAAAAAUAAUAAUAAUAGUAAUAAUAUUUCAUAAAGAUACAGGAAACUAGAUUAUAAUUGACAUUUUCAAAGUGAAAUACUGUCUAGAAUGGUGCUUGGCCAACAGUAAGCUUUUUGUAAGUGGAAGUCAUUACUACUACUAUUUCUUUCAUUAUUAUUACCAUUACUACUUUUUUUUACAAAAAAAAAACCCUGGACAACACACUGAAACCAUUACUACUUCUACUACUAUAACUUAGGUUGCACCUGAUAGAGCCAGCAAUUUUUCCAAGGUAUGACAAUGGCCAUAUGUUUAAUGAUAUAAUUCUAUGGCUCAGUGUAUCUCAGCCUUUUUAAACCCUGCUCUUCUUUUGACAAUUGUAAAAAUCUUAAACUGACCUCCAGUUGAAAUCCUCUGUCAAGAAGAUAUUGUCGGCCAGGGGCGGUGGCUCACACCUGUAAUCCCAGCACUUUUGGAGGCCGAGGUGGGAGGAUCACUUGAGGUUAGGAGUUCAAGACCAGCCUGGCCAACAUAGUGAAACCCCAUCUCUACUAAAAAUACAAAAAUUAGGCAGGCAUGGUGGUGUGUGCCUGUAAUCCCAGCUACUCAGGAGGCUGAGGUAGGAGAAUUGCUUGAACCUGGCAGGGCAGAGGUUGCAGCAAGCCGAGAUCACGCCACUGCUCUCCAGCCUGGGUGAGACUGUCUCAAAAAAAAAAAAAAAAAAGAAAGAAAGUAAGAAAAAGAAGAAAUCCCAAUCUCUUCUUUUAUGUGGAUUCUUCCUCACUUGAAUAAUACUUUUCUUCCCCAGUAUUCUCCAUAUUAUCCCAGAGUCAGCCCCUCUGUUUUUGUAAAGAUCUACGUAACCUCCUCUAAGUUUCCCAGUUCUCCUCACCUAUCAUAUCAUUUGGCUCAACAAAGGGCAGGAAGCUAGAUUCUAAUUGAUAUUUUGAGGCCGGGAGCAGUGGCUCAUGCCUGUAAUCACAGCACUUUGGGAGGCUGAGGCGGGCAGAUCACUGGAGGUCAGGAGUUCGAGACCAGCCUGGCCAAUAUGGUGAAACCUCGUCUCUACUAAAAAUACAAAAAAUUAGCCAGGCUUGGUGGCUUGUACCUGUAAUCCCAGCUACUCAGGAGGCUGAGGCAGGAGAAUAGCUUAAACCUGGGAGGAAGAGGUUGCAGUGAGCCGAGAUUGCUCAAUUGCACCCCAGCCUGGGUGACAGAGCAAAACUCCAUCUCAAAAACAAACAAACGAACAAACCUGAUAUUUUCAAAAUUGAGGCAAUUAUAACAGCUAUUUAGCCAAGCAUUAUGAUAGCAAUAAUAGCAAGAAAAUAAAUUAGUUAACAAAUGAGUCUCAGAAGCCCAAUGAUUUUUAUUUUAUUUUUAUUUUUUGAACUUUUAUUUUAGAAUCAGGGGAUACAUGUGCAGGUUUGUUACCCGGGUAUAUUGCAUGAUGCUGAGUUUUGGAGUAUGCAUGAAUCCAACCUGUCAUCCAGGUAGUGAGUAUAGUACCCAACAGAUAGUUUUUUUAACAUUUACUUCACUCCCUUCCCCAAUCUUGUAUUCCCCUGUGUCUACUGUUCCCAUUUUUAUGACUGUGCCAACAAUAAUUUUUUUUCUUUUUUCUUUAAAUAGAGAUGGGGGUCUCUAUUUAAAGAGCCUCCCAAAGUGCUAGGAUUACAGGUGUGAUCCAUUGCACCUGGCCCAUGCCAACAAUAUUUGAAACCCUUAUCUGCGUGUACAAGUUUGCUACUGGUUUUGUUUUGCUCAUUAAUACAUCCCAAGCAUCUAUACCUGGCUUGUAGUACCAGCAUGUAGUAGGUGCUUAAUAAAUAUUUAUUGAAUAAAUAAAUUAGUUUGACAUUAGUUUAACAUCUCAAGUAAAACAAAAUACCAUUCAAUUAAUUCUCUUCUUCUACUUUUUUCUUUUAAGAGAGACAAAUAGUCACACAUACAUCAGCAGGAGAGGAUACAAUUUCCUGUGUUUAAGUUUUUAUGAGUUACUUUAGUUCAAAUGUCACAGAAAAUUAUAUUGAACUCUUGACCAAUCUAUCUAUUUUUUCCAUUGGAGUAUUGACCCAAAUAAGAAAUAGCAUAAAGGAAAAAUUAUUUUUUGGCAGAAAAAUAUUCUCUCUAAAUUCUUGUGUGUUUUGUUUUGAUUUUUUCCUUAGUGACUGGAGGCCAGUUUCAAUCCACUGAAGCACAGAUUCCAAAUUUUCAAUCUGGUUUUCUUGAGUAGUGACUGAGUGCCAAAAAUGAAGCAAUGACACAACAUCACCAUCAAGACACUCCCCAGCACGCACACACAUGCCAGAGUCCAACACCAAGAUACUCCCCAGCACGCACACACACGCCAGAGUCCAGGCCAUAUUCGGGUGGCUUGCAAGCUUCUUCCCCCCAAGUAUUUACUCUCAAAAUAAUGGUUUUUGUUUUGUUUUGGUUUGGUUUGGUUUGUUUUUUUCCAAAUACAUUUCUUCCCUAUAUCUUUAACCAAUUCUCAUAAAAUUUUGUCUAAUACACUGGUCAGUGUAUUCCAGACCCUAAAAGAUAACAUAAUGAAACUAUCUAUGACUAAAAGGUAAUCAGGAUCUUCUACUUAUCCUUUUUUCCUCCCUCUUAAACUUUAAUUUUGAUACAUUUGGGAGUGAAAUGAUGACAAUAAAUGCAAAGUAAUUAUUGAAGAAACAGUAAUUUUGUAUUAGCUUACUGAAAAAAAAAAAAAAGAUAACCAAAUAUAUUUUGGCAGCCCCAAACGAGUCACAUGUGAAAUGCAGUGGGAGAGCAGUGUCCUGAAGGAAAAGGUGGCCUGCUGGACAGCCAAGAGAACAAACAUCCACUGCAAGUAAUAUGAGCUCUAAGUUUGGACUAGGCCUAUGUCUGCUCUGAGACUUGGGGCAAUUCACUUAAUCAGAGCCUUAAUCAGCUACGGACUAGCAAUAUCCAUACCCGCUACUUAUUUUGUAAAUCUCCUUUCUAAAGUUAACUCUAUUUAUUGUUCCAUAAUCCCAUAAAUUCUAGAAUCUUUUCCUGUUAUAGCCAAGUUGUCUAUCAUUGACAGAGAUAUUCACCUGGUUGUUUUGGCUUCUCUAAUCCUCCUGGUGAGAACACCUCCAAGGGAGCUUUCAGUGGCAUUUAAGGUCACUUGUGCUCUUGGUCCUAGAAACUGCCUUGAUAGUGGUUUUAGCUCACAUGAGGUAAGUCUUUAUUAUAUGCCCAACCUCUUUAUGCAUUACUUCAUUUAAUUGUAUACUAAUCCUUUGUCAUAGGUUAUCAGAGUGUUUGAUUAUAAGUUACAGGAAGAAAAAAAAAAACAAACUCCAAUUGACUAAAACAAUGGGGCAUUUUUUGACUCACAUAACAGAGAGUCUAGAGAGAAGGCACCUUCAGGUUUGGCUGAUGAAUCCUGUAUCUCUGCCUUGUCUCCAGGCCCCCAGGUUCUGCCUCUGUCCUGACAUCCAGUGUUGGAUUCCUCUUCACAUCAACUCCUCUCUGUAGGUUGGGCCAUCAGACCCUACCUCCUUAUUUAUGUUGAGCAAAGGAGAGAGAAUGCCUCUACAAACAAUGAAAAAAGUGAAAAAAAAAAUCUUUCUCCUCCUUAUAACUUUAGUUAGCUUAACUUUAGUCAGUUGCUUAGCUACUAAACAGUAGCUAUUGGGAGGUGGGAAGGAAUACUAUUGUGUAAUCAACUAAGGCUCAUACAGAGGAUUAGGGUUAUCUGAAUUGAUUUGAAUUAAUUAGAAUUUACUCUCAGAGCUGUGGCAAUUCCUUGAACCACACUGAUUGCUAUAAAGUGGAAGAGGAAUAGAUUGAAUUUUGGGGAGUCAACUACAAUGUGUACUACAGGUAAAUACUAUGAAUUUCCAAUUCACAGAUGAGAAAACUGAGGCAUGUGGUGGGAGGGAGGUUAUGUAAUUUGCCCAGUGUCACAGUUGAACCUAGGCAAAGGCCUAUCUCCAGGUCUAAACAAUUCAGUGGCCUCCUGUGUACAUUUCUGUCUCUCCUUUUUUAUCCACUGUGUCACCGAGGCUGGAUUGCAGUGGCUCGAUCAUGGAGAUCAUGGCUUUCUGUAGCCUUGAACUCCUGGGCUCAAGUGAUCCUCCUGCCUCAGCUUCCUGAGUGGCUGGGACUACAGGCUUGACAACACACCCGGCUAUCCCGUGUAUAUUUCUUGAGGGCUUAUGAUAUAUAAGAGAAACUCCAAAAUAAGAGGACGGUGUGCUAAGGGGAAGACCAAAGCACUAUCAAGAGGUAGAUUCAAUCGUACCCCUUCUAUUUACUAGUUGUGUGACUCUUUUGAAAAUGAGAAUAAUAGGCCAGGCUCGGUGGCUCCUGCCUGUAAUCCCAGCACUUUGGGAGGCUGAGGCAGGUAGAUCACCUGAGGUUAGAAGUUCAAGACCAGCCUAGCCAACAUGGCAAAACCCCAUCUCUAUUAAAAAUACAAAAAUUAGCCGGGAAUGGCAGCAUGUGCCUGUAGUUCCGGCUACUCAGGAGGCUGAGGCAGGAGAAUCACUUGAACCCAGGAGGCAGAGGUUGCAGUGAGCCGAGAUUGCGCUACUGCACUUCAGCCUGGGUGACAGCGAGACUCCAUCUCAAAAAAAAAAAAAAAGGAAGAAAAGAAAAGAAAAUGGGAAUAAUAAAACUUACUUACUGGAGCAGUAGCAAAGAUUAAAAUUUAGACCAUGCAGAAGAAUGUUUUUCAAAAUGACAUGACCUGGUAAUAGGAUAGAAAUGCAAAUUCCUGUUACUGCACCAGACCCACCAAAUAAGAAACUCUGGGGAUGGGACCCAGGACUAAGUACUUUAAUAAGCACUCCAGGUGAUUCUAAUGAUUGUUAAAGUUUGAGAACCACUGGUCUAACACAUUGCCUGGUACAUAAGCUCUUAUUUUGUUGUUAUUGUUCUAAGGACAAUGUGUGUAUUGACUUCUAUUUCCAGGAGUUCAUGACUUGGAGAACUAGGGAAAGGAAGACAAAAAUUCUUUAAUGCAGAACGAUACUGAUUGAUAAAUACCUGAAUAUAAUACAGGUUAAAUGUGCUUUGAAGAUUUAUAAAAGGUUGAAUUUAUUUCCAGCAAGAUGACUCUCAGAAGCCUUUAUAGAUUAGAGAAGAAAUGGAAAGGGGUAAAAAUAAUUAGGAACUAUAAAGCAGGGCAGACAAGUUUUCAAUGGUUACUGCCAAUGUGUAUACAGAAAGUUAGCUUGGCCAGGCAAAGUGGCUCAUGCUUGUAAUAUCAGCACUUUGGGAGGCCAAGGCGGGCAGGUCACCUGAGAUCAGGAGUUUGAGACCAGCCUGACCAACAUGGUGAAACUCUAUCUCUACUAAAAAUACACAAUUAGCCCAGCAUGGUAGAGCAUGCCUGUAAUCCCAGCUACUCAGGAGGCUGAGGCAGGAGAAUCGCUUGUACUUGGGAGGCAAAGGCUGCAGUGAGCUGAGAUCGUGCCAUUGCACUCCAUCCUGGGAAACAAGGGUGAAACUCCGUCUCCAGAAAAAAAAAAGUUACCUUGAAAUAUAUCAAUACAAACAAAUAAAUUAGAUAUUUCAUAUUGUACAGGAACAAAACCCAUCAGAAGAUGUCAGAAGAUAAGGAUUUUUGUCCUGAUGCUACACUUACCAGCUGUCCCUCAGUGUUCUACUUCUUAAAAAAAGAGAGGUUGGUCCUGAUCCCUGGUUCUUAACCAGGGGAAAAUGAAGUGGGGCCAGGGCAUGUGCAGACUUAAAAAUUACACAGGGGAAUGUAGGCACGAUCUGUUUAAGAAAUACUGGACUAAAUGGUCUCUAAUCUGUGAUUGUAGAUUAAAGAAUAAUCUACAAUCUACACCGUGUUGGCCAGGCACGGUGGCUCACACCUGUAAUUCCAGCACUUUGGGAGGCUGAGGUGUGUGGAUCACAUGAGGUCAGGAGUUCGAGACCAGCCUCACCAAUGUGGCAAAACCCCCUCUCUACUAAAAAUACGGAAAAUUAGCUGGGUGUGGUGGUGCAUGUCUGUAGUCCCAGCUACUCGGGAGGCUAAGGCAUGAGAAUUGCUUGAACCUGGGAGGUGGAGGUUGCAGUGAGCCAAAAUCACGCCACUGCACUCCAGCCUGGGUGACAGAGUGAGACUCUGUCUCAAAAAAAAAGAAAAAAUAAAUAAUCAAAUGUAAAGUUAGCACAUAAAGGAGGCAUGUACAUAUUAUUAAAAUCUAUAUGACUACCUCUCCUUUUUCAUUUUUGGCUCAAUAUCUGUAUCUGAACACCUAAUUAAUGAAAGGAAAACAUUUGUAAUAUGUAGCAACUAAAAUGUCACCUUCUCUGUGGGGAUCACAAAGUCCUUGGCAAUCACUUCCAUACCAGACAAGUGAGUAUUGUCCUUCUCCUUUUCCAGAUGGAUAAACAGAGGCAACCCGAGGAUAAAGGCCUUGCUCAGUGUCACACAUUUCAGUCACUAAAUAAGACACAAUGGAUGCCAGUAUUCUCAUCCCCUCACAAAUAAAGAGCCUUCAAGCUCUUGCAGUCAACAAGAACUUUUGGAAUGAUUUCACUGCCUGAAAAGGCAGAUACAUAGGUGACACCCACAAAUAGGAAGAAAAUCAACCUGAACCUGAGUGUGUGGGCUCACUGACUCUAAGCAGUAGAGACAGAAGAAAAAGUUUUAGCAAAGAAGGGUUCUGAAAGAAAAUAAAUAUAGCUCGUUAUCAAGUGCUGUUUUUACACAGUAAAACAUGGGCAAAAUUACUCUUCUUUAAGUAGUAAUUCUUAUCUCUUGAUUAAGUCACCUACUCAUUCAUUUAAUAAAUACAUACUGAUUGUUUUCUAUGUGUUGAGCACUCAUCUCUGUAUUGGAAAUAUAAUAAUGACCAAAGUUGACAAUAGUAAUAACAAUAAUAGCUAAUAUAGCAGGCACUAAUAAUUAUUUGUUGAGUAAUAUGUCAAAAUUCAGUGUGAACAGCAUUCUAUUUGGGGCUGCAUCCACUGACUAUAACACAGCUAAUCUAUCUGAAAUGUUCCAGCUUUGGGCCUCUCUAACAGAAGAAGCUGUUGUUGGGCCUGCCUCUAGUUGGCGAUGCAUCCACCAAUGAGAAUGAAUUUAUGAUCGACCACUCUUCCUGUAAAGGCCGCUGGAACUGACAGCAUUGUGAUUUUCUUUUACUGUUAGUUUUAAAUUACUAGAACCAACUCAAUUACUAGAACGAACUUUACUUCUUUGUUUCCUACUUAUCAAAACAGUAAAAACAACAAGUAAAAGAAAUGCCAUCUUAAUAUUGUUUUGAUGACAAAACAGUAUUCCUUUUAGUUGUGCUUCAAAUGGAAUAAGAUGCAAACAGGCUUGGUAUGGUGGCUCACCCCUGUAAUCCCAGCCCUUUGGGAGGCCAAGGUGGAAGGAUUGCUUGAGGCCAUGAGUUUGAGACCAGCCUGCGCAACAUAGCAAGACCGUGUCUCUACAAAAAAUAAAAAAUUAGCUGAGUGUAGUGGUGUGUGCUUGUGGUCCCAGCUACUUUUGAGGCUGAGGAGGGAGAAUCUCUUGAGCCCAGAAGGUCGAAGUUGCAGUGAGCCGUGAUCGUGCCAUUGCUCUCCAGCUUGGACAACAAAGCAAGACCCUAUGUCAAAAAAUAAAUAAAUAAAAGACAUAAACAUAUCUGAGAUUAACUUUCAGUGGUAAAUUUGUUCCAUAUAUGAUUUUUAAGGUUAAAUGCUUUGGAAGCUUUAAAAACCAUUUCAGCCCUUUUAAAUGCCAACUUACACUGAUGAUGCUCUCAGAUGUUAGGAAAUCUUUUGAGCAGAAAAUGGAAGUGGGGGUGUUGAGGCAGGGAGGAGAGUGAUGCAAUAUUCCUUAGUGUCAUCCUGUGAUUUCACAAUUUGUUUUUCAAUCUGUUUGGACUUUCAAAAGGGAAGACUCUCAUAUGUCAACAAGCCCAUGAACUGAAGCUUAAAACACUGGAAACAACAACUGUAGAGUUUCAAGUAUAUGUACAUUUAUGUAUUCAUGUUCCUUGAUGGGAAUGCUGGCUGGUGUGAAUGUUCAAUCUCCUGAGAAAUGUAAAUUUUUCUCUGACAGAUUUAUUAGCUUGCUGUAUCUGAGCACAUGAGCAAAAACAAUGCCUAAUAAGAAAACUUUCUCUCUCCUUCAAAGUCAAACUUGGGAGAAAUGAAGGGAAAUCGAGUUUUCUUUGCUUGACAGUGUUCAACAUUCUUGUAGUCAGUGUGCUCAUGAAGAUUGCAAACUUUUUUUUUUUUUUAGAGCAGCUAGGACUACAGGCGCGCACCACCACACCCAGCUAAUUUGUGUAUUUUUAGUAGAGAUGGGGUUUUAACUAUGUUGGCCAAGCUUGUCUCAAACUCCUGACCUCAAGUGAUCCAUUCGACAGCUCUUUCUUUUUUUUUUUUUUUUUUGAGACAAAGUCUCGCUCUGUCACCCAGGCUGGAGUGCAGUGGUAUGAUCUCAGCUCACUGCAACCUCCGCCUCCUGGGUUCAAGCAAUUCUCAUGCCUUAGCCUCCCGAAU
rnacentral:lncRNA from 1 species